ACCUUUAGUUGCCAUCAGGUAAUGCUGGGGACUCUAAAGGAACUGCCUACGCAAGUAGUGAGGAAGGCGGGGAUGACGUCAAAUCAGCACGGCCCUUACGUCCAGGGCUACACACGUGCUACAAUGGCCGAUACAGAGGGCAGCUACCUGGUGACAGGAUGCAAAUCUCCAAAGUCGGUCUCAGUUCGGAUCGGAGUCUGCAACCCGACUCCGUGAAGUUGGAUUCGCUAGUAAUCGCGCAUCAGCCAUGGCGCGGUGAAUACGUUCCCGGGCCUU
rnacentral:rRNA from 1 species